GACGAACGCUGGCGGCGUGCUUAACACAUGCAAGUCGAACGGAAAGGCCCUGCUUUUGUGGGGUGCUCGAGUGGCGAACGGGUGAGUAACAAGUGAGUAACCUGCCCUUGCUUUUGGGAUAACUUCCGGAAACUGGGGCUAAUUCCGGCUAGGAGCUCCUGAUGCAUGGUGGGGGUUGGAAAGUAUCGGCGGUUGGGGAUGGACUCGCGGCUCAUCAGCUUGUUGGUGGGGUAGUGGCUUACCAAGGCGUUGACGGGUAGCCGGCCUGAGAGGGUGACCGGCCACAUUGGGACUGGGAAACGGCCCAGACUCCUACGGGAGGCAGCAGUGGGGAAUAGUGCACAAUGGGCGGAAGCCUGAUGCAGCAACGCCGCGUGCGGGAUGACGGCCUUCGGGUUGUAAACCGCUUUCGCCUGUGACGAAGCGGGAGUGACGGUAAUGGGUAAAGAAGCACCGGCUAACUACGUG
rnacentral:rRNA from 1 species